rnacentral:rRNA from 1 species
AUGUACCACCGUCAUGCCAAGCGCCACCGCGACAGCCCCGACGAAGCGCUCCCAACCCCCAAGCAGCCCCUGACGACGACCACGACCCACUCUUUCGCCUCCUCCUCUUCCCCUGGCGUGCACUUCUUCGUGCGCGCCACCGACUCCAAGACCAUCGUGAUGCACACUGCGCGGGCCCAUACCGUCGCCGUCGUGCUCGAUAACUUUGUCGACUGUGGCUACGGCCCGGACUUGCACCUCCUCUAUGCGGGAAGGCGGCUACAGCCAGAGGCCACCAUCGCGUCGCUCGGCCUCCUGCCCGACUCCACUCUCCACCUCAACAACGGCAUCACCGACACCCCGCAUCACUUCAUGGCCUGGCAGGUAGCGUCACGCAUUGCCAAGGCCACCACCAGCUCUAUUGAGAUUCUCGACAUGCAGGUAAUGGAGUACAUCGCUUUCUUUGAUCCCAGGUGCCAGCGAAACCGGCAUCAUCGUGCCGAGGAUUACAUCCAAAUAUUCCUUGAGUCGGGCGCUGCCAUCACGCUUGUUGACCUCUACCUCUCAGAUGUCUCUUUAUCCCACACGCAGGCCGAGCGUGCCAUCAGAUGCUUUCUCAGCAUGGACCCUGCAUCCUUACCGUCUACUGUAACCCUCAUGACGGGCUCGGACCCUGCAUCCUUACCGCCUAGUGUAAUGUUCGCGACGGUGCCUGUGCUGCUCGAAUUCUGCCGCUUGCUUUCUUCAGCCGCGGGAAAUGGGGAUUCCCUCUACAAGUCAUGCCGUUACACACUUGCAUCAAUACUCUGCUUGCCCUUCUCCAUGCUCACUUCCACGAAAUCGCCAACCAGGGUCAGAGUCCUCCCGUUUGCCAGAGAAGUAGUUGAACUGGUGCUGAAUGGACUUGCGUCAGAGUCCAUGAUGGUGUCAAGGACAGACCUUGAAGAGCUCUCAAACUUCUUUAAAGUGCUGUGCCCAGUGAUGCCCGACGGGCUAAUGCCAAAUAAUAUUUACAACAUCUCUCAUAAGCGUGGUGACACAUGGAUAUGGGAGUUACACGAAAUGUCUAUGAACUUGUUGAAAAUAUUGGAUGAGUGUCUCUGGAGGCUGGAGAUGAAUCUUCCAUCAUCGUCAUCCGAGAGUAGGGGUUUCAUAGAAAGUCAACCAAUCUGGGCCAAUCGAUUACAUAUCCUUGCCGUAUUGGAAGAACUGAAUUUCAUCUCCUCGAAAUUCGAGGAUGUGGCGCACAGCCUACGGUUCGUGUUGCUGGUACACAAAGCACCUCUCAAUGCACUCGUGCGUUGUUCCAAGAGGAACGAGCAUCUUCACUGGCUCGUGAAGCAUAAGGAUCUGCUUUGCUUCGAAGCAAGAAGGAACUUCGUCUUAAUGUUGUUUCCUGAGGGGGAGGAAGACUACGGGGUGCCGCAUGAGAUGUUGAUCGACCGGUCACGUUUACUAGAUGACGAGCUUCACAGUGGUCUGUUUAUCGAGUUCAAGAAUGAGAAGGCUACUGGCCGUGGCGUUCUGAGGGAGUGGUUCUGCAUGGUUAGUCAGGCUCUCUUCAGCCCACAGCAAGUUCUCUUCUUGCCUUGUCCUAAUGAUCAACGGAGGUUCUACUUGAAUGGAACAUCUGCUAUGGACCCACUCCACCUGGAAUACUUCAUUUUUUCAGGGCGAUUAAUUGGAUUAGCAUUGAUGCAUAAAGUGCAAGUAGGAAUUGUUUUGGACCGCACAUUAUUCUUGCAUCUUGCUGGGAGAAGUAUUACAUUGGAAGAUAUUGCAACUGCAGACCCUAUCACGUAUGCAAGCUAUGUUCAUAUCUUAGGGACUCAAAGGAAUGUUGAUAUUUGUGCAGGAGGGCAGGAUAUCUCUGUGAACAUCAGUAACAUAGAUUAUUACAUUGAUCUUCUUAUUAAAAAUAUCUUUGUUGACUCUAUUUCUAAUCAGCUAGCUAAGUUUGCAAAAGGAUUUAGUGACAUAUUGGCCAAUCCGGAACUCAAGAAGGUAUUUUUUGGGUGUUUGGAUCAAGAAGACUUUGACCGAAUGCUUGGGGGAAACAACAACAGUAUAAAUCUGAAAGAUUGGGGAUCACAUACUCAAUAUAAUGGCUACAAAGAAAAAGAUCGCCAUGUUAACUGGUUCUGGAAGGCUGUCGAGAGCAUGCCAGUUGAGCAGCAGAGGCAACUUCUCUUCUUUUGGACUUCAGUGAAAUAUUUGCCCUCCGAAGGUUUUGGUGGACUGAGCUCAAAACUGUACAUACACAACACAUUUGAGUCAGCUGACCAUCUCCCAUCCUCGCAUACAUGCUUCUACCACCUUGGCCUCCCUCCAUAUCCAACCCUCAAGGUGAUGCAUAACCAGCUGCAGAAGAUCACACAAGAGCAUGUGAGCUGCAGCUUUGGUACGGGUUAG